rnacentral:lncRNA from 1 species
UUUUUCGUACACAUAUAAGGUCCGAGCCUAAGCUAGCAAUUCCUUCAAUAGGAUACAUAACAUUAAUCAUUGGACUACCCCUACAAAUGCAGUUGUUGAAACUUGAAAAACAGAAAGAAUGCAAAAUCUGAAGGGAUUUCAUUCAUAGAACAAUUUGCGAAGUUACAAUGCAGUUAGAUUUAGAAACCCUUCUUUGAGAAACUACAAGGAAAUGCUACUAAACACUGUUAAAGAAAGGAAGAAAAGAAAAACUAGAAGGAAAAGAAAGGUUAUUGAGGGUUAUGUGUUCUGGUACAUUUCAGUUAUAACUUCAUGUCGCCGCGCUCAAUAUAAAUUACUUUCUCUCAGAUCACCUCCUGAAAAACAUAGAAAUGAACAAGAUGUUAGUAAAUAAUAAUGCUGUUGGAAAAAGUAAACUGUCGAUUGUGCAGUAUCAGCUCACCAAAAUCCCUAGGUGUUUUGCAUUUAUAACAUUCUGCUCUACUGGCGUAGUUGUGCAUACCACAUCCUAAUCUGUCAGACAAGAUCGAAGACAGUUAUUUCAGUUAAAAGGAGUGUAGUAUGUCAGUAGUAAAAGGAGGAUAUUUACGGCAGGCUAACAGUCAAU